AUACGAUGAUGAGGACAUCUUUUGAGUAACUCUUUAAAUCUUUCCCAUGCAUUAUACAAGCUCUCAUCUUCAAGUUGAUGGAAAUAUGUGAUCUCGUUCUUCAAUUU
rfam:Citrus sinensis cultivar Ridge Pineapple sweet orange scaffold00920_contig_9, whole genome shotgun sequence.